rnacentral:tRNA from 1 species
GCCCGAGUGCUGGAACGGUUUACAGGAUCGGCUCAAAACCGAUUGUCCGAAAGGACAUGCGGGUUCGAAUCCCGCCUCGGGCA